CUACGGGGCGCAGCAGUCGCGAAAACUCCGCAAUGCACGAAAGUGUGACGGGGCUACCCCGAGUGCCAUCCGCUGAGGAUGGCUUUUCUUUGGUAUAACUAGCCAUGGGAAUAAGGAGAGGGCAAGACUGGUGUCAGCCGCCGCGGUAAUACCAGCUCUCCGAGUGGUAGGGAUGAUUAUUGGGCUUAAAGCGUCCGUAGCCGGCUUAGCAAGUUUCCUGUUAAACUCAGCGACUCAAUCGUUGGAUCGCGGGAAAUACUACUAGGCUAGGAGGCGGGAGAGGUCAACGGUACUUCUGGGGUAGGGGUGAAAUCCUAUAAUCCCGGGAGGACCACCAGUGGCGAAGGCUGUUGACUAGAACGCGCUCGACGGUGAGGGACGAAAGCUGGGGUAGCAAACCGGAUUAGAUACCCCAGUAGUC
rnacentral:rRNA from 1 species